AGUGGAAUUGCUGGGUCACAUGGUAUUUCUAUGAUUAACUUUUUGAAGAACUACCAAACUGUUUUCCAAAGUGGCUGUACCAUUUUACAUUCCCACCAGCAAU
rnacentral:pre_miRNA from 1 species